UGAAAAUAACACUUGAACUGUGCAGCCUCUCUUUCUAAUCUCUGACAGCCUAUAAAAAAAAUCAGACGUUAACAAUAGAGGAGCAGGUUUCAAGUUUUUAUAGCACACAAUUCCUUUACAGAUUUAAGAUGACAGAAGAAGAGAACAGCCUAAUUUAUUCUUCCUGGCUUGCGGCACAGAAUCAUGAAGGCUCUCGGUCAUAACUUCAGGGCUACACUAAAUUCCUGCCAGCCGGGAUCAGUUACAAAGGCCUCUGGAUCUUGGGAUAAUAGAAAUGAAGGUAUGGAAGGCUGAGACAGUUGACCUGCAUCAUCUUAGGAGAUUUUAUUAUCAUCUGAAUCUCAGAAUCAGAUUAUCUCAUCAGAAACUGCAAAUACAUCUUCAUUAUUCAUUACAAAGAGAAAAAUUUGAACCAGCAAUAUAUUCCAAGUACUUGACACAGAACACAAGAUUACAAGAUUUACCAUUAUUGAAGGACUGCUACAAAUUCAUGCUAGUUUCUGCCUUCCCUGAAAAGAAGAGUGGUGGACUUUGAUCCCAGGAGCAUAAGGAAGAAAGUGGGUGCCACUAUUCCAUAUCAAUCUUUCUACAAAAAAUAGCUGCAAUACAUUUCCUCCUGAAUUAUCUAAAGGCAAACACAGCACCUCCAAUGCCAAGUGUACUAGUUCCCUAGGAUUUCCAUGACAAAUUACCAUAAACUUGGAUGGCUUAAAACAACAGAAAUU
rnacentral:lncRNA from 1 species